GACGAACGCUGGCGGCGUGCUUAACACAUGCAAGUCGAACGCUGAAGCUCAGCUUUUGUUGGGUGGAUGAGUGGCGAACGGGUGAGUAACACGUGAGUAACCUGCCUCCUUCUUUGGGAUAACGCCCGGAAACGGGUGCUAAUACUGGAUCUUCACUGGUCUUCGCAUGGGGGUUGGUGGAAAGGGUUUUUCUGGUGGGUGAUGGGCUCGCUGCCUAUCAGCUUGUUGGUGGGGUGAUGGCCUACCAAGGCUUUGACGGGUAGCCGGCCUGAGAGGGUGACCGGUCACAUUGGGACGGAGAUACGGCCCAGACGAGUAAGGGAGGAAGAAGUGGGGAAUAUGGGAGAAUGGGCGAAAGACUGAUGCAGCGAGGGCGAGGGAGGGAUGGAGGCCUUCGGGUUGUGAACCUCUUUCGCUAAUGGUCAAGCCGAAACAAUGGUUGUGGUGAGGGUAGUGGGUAAAGAAGCGCCGGCUAACUACGUG
rnacentral:rRNA from 1 species